rnacentral:rRNA from 1 species
UGCAAGUCGAACGGUAACAGGAAGCAGCUUGCUGCUUUGCUGACGAGUGGCGGACGGGUGAGUAAUGUCUGGGAAACUGCCUGAUGGAGGGGGAUAACUACUGGAAACGGUAGCUAAUACCGCAUAACGUCGCAAGACCAAAGAGGGGGACCUUCGGGCCUCUUGCCAUCGGAUGUGCCCAGAUGGGAUUAGCUAGUAGGUGGGGUAACGGCUCACCUAGGCGACGAUCCCUAGCUGGUCUGAGAGGAUGACCAGCCACACUGGAACUGAGACACGGUCCAGACUCCUACGGGAGGCAGCAGUGGGGAAUAUUGCACAAUGGGCGCAAGCCUGAUGCAGCCAUGCCGCGUGUAUGAAGAAGGCCUUCGGGUUGUAAAGUACUUUCAGCGGGGAGGAAGGGAGUAAAGUU